CUGAUCCCCAAGUCACCUGCUUUCCAGGUCUGUCCCCUGUGCCCUCUUCAAUGCUUUCAUAUUAUUUCUUCUGCCCACUUUGUAAUUCAUUGAGUUUUUUCUGCAGCUCUUCCUAAUCUACCUUUAAACUUUUCCAUUUUCUUUUCAUUUUGUUUUAUUCUAUUUUGAGACAGGCUCUCAGUAUAUAGCCCUAGCUGGCCUGUAACUCACAGAGAUUUCCCUGUCUCCUGUCUCUGCCUCCGAGUGCUGGGAUUAAAGAUUCUUGUUCCCUGCUGAGAACUCCCAAGUCUGGCACCUUUCUCUCCUUAAUAAUAUACCAUCUUCUAGAGAGGGUCCUUUCUCUCCCAUCAGCCACCUCGAGGCACUGAAAAUCCAG
rnacentral:lncRNA from 1 species